rnacentral:rRNA from 1 species
ACCCGCUGAACUUAAGCAUAUCAAUAAGCGGAGGAAAAGAAACUAACAAGGAUUCCCCUAGUAACUGCGAGUGAAGAGGGAAAAGCUCAAAUUUAAAAUCUGGCAGUCUCUGAUUGUCCGAGUUGUAGUUUAGAGAAACACUAUCCGUGCUGGCCUGUGCAUAAGUCUCUUGGAAAAGAGUAUCAUAGAGGGUGACAAUCCCGUCUUUGGCAUGGACUCCCAGUGCAUUCGUGAUGUGUUCUCAACGAGUCGAGUUGUUUGGGAAUGCAGCUCUAAAUGGGUGGUAAAUUCCAUCUAAAGCUAAAUAUUGGCGAGAAACCGAUAGCGAACAAGUACCGUGAGGGAAAGAUGAAAAGAACUUUGAAAAGAGAGUUAAACAGUACGUGAAAUUGUUGAGAGGGAAACGCUUGAAGUCAGUCGCAUCUUUUUGAAAUCAACCUAGCCUUUGGGUGGGCGUACUUUCUUUGAGAUGGGUCAGCAUCAAUUUUGAUCGUUGGAUAAAGGUGGGGGAAAUGUGGCAUCUUCGGAUGUGUUAUAGUCUCCUAUCCAAAUACAAUGGUUGGGAUUGAGGAACUCAGUGUGACUCAUGUUUGGGGCUUUGCCUACACACGCACUUAGGAUGCUGGCAUAAUGGCUUUAAUCGACCCGUCUUGAAACACGG